AUCGAGUGUGGUCAAGCUGUGUAGACCCUUAGGAGCUUGUCAUGUGGUAAAUCAAGAUUCACUUGCACGUUCACUCACACAUGCUGCUUCUACUCCGAAAGUACUCAUCCAUAUAUAUCCACCCAUUUCCAUCUCUAGAACUACCCAAAAAUAUUCUACUCCUAAUCCGGGAGGGAAUAGCCAAAAAUAUUCCUGUUUUCCCCUGUGAAAUAAAUGCUCAAAUUAUCUUGGUUACUACCACUUGCUAUAUUAUUUCAUGAGAUGAGUGCUCUAAAAAAAGAGAUACGAGGAAAUAAAAAGGGGCAAGUGCCCGGAACCUCGAAAGAAAAGAAAAAGUUAGACGAGAGGUAAAAAUGGACAAGUGUCUGACAGUAGAAUUAGGGGUACAAGAUACCCACCUGAAAAAAAAGAAAGAAAGUACAGAGCAUCUCAUUCUCCUCAAAAAGUUUCAAAAGAGCAAGAAAGGUAUGUAUCCCUUCAAAAGAGCACAAGUAGAAUUAGACUUUCACCAUUGUUAUCACCAUCAUCACCAUACACCAUUCAUUCGCCACACAUGCACAUCUUGAUUUGACUUAUUGACUUGUUUCUUUGGAUCCAUGGUUUGACUAUGCAAUAAAUGCCUUGUGAGUAUGUAUUCUUUAUCUCCCACCUAUGAGCUCCAGAUAUCAAAAGCUUUAUUAGAGUAGC
rnacentral:lncRNA from 1 species